rnacentral:rRNA from 1 species
CAACAGGGAUGCCCUUAGUAACGGCGAGUGAAGCGGCAACAGCUCAAAUUUGAAAUCUGGCCCUUGGGUCCGAAUUGUAAUUUGUAGAGGAUGAUUUUGGUGCGGUACCUUCCGAGUUCCUUGGAACAGGACGCCUUAGAGGGUGAGAGCCCCGUACGGUUGGAUACCUAGCCUCUGUAAAUCUCCUUCGACGAGUCGAGUAGUUUGGGAAUGCUGCUCUAAAUGGGAGGUAAAUUUCUUCUAAAGCUAAAUACUGGCCAGAGACCGAUAGCGCACAAGUAGAGUGAUCGAAAGAUGAAAAGCACUUUGAAAAGAGGGUUAAAUAGCACGUGAAAUUGUUGAAAGGGAAGGAUUUAUGACCAGACUUUUUCUGGGCAGAUCAUCCGGUGUUCUCACCGGUGCACUUUGCCCAGUUUAGGCCAGCAUCGAUUUCCGGAGGGGGAUAAAAGCUUUAGGAAUGUGGCUCCCUCGGGAGUGUUAUAGCCUAUUGUAUAAUACCUUUCUGGGGAUCGAGGUACGCGCUUCUGCAAGGAUGCUGGCGUAAUGGUUAUCAAUCACCCGUCUUGAAACACGGACCAAGGAGUCGAACAUUUGUGCGAGUGUUUGGGUGUUAAACCCUCACGCGUAAUGAAAGUGAACGGAGGUAAGAGCCCUUACGGGUGCAUUAUCGACCGAUCCUGAAGUUUUCGGAUGGAUUUGAGUAGGAGCAUAAAUGUUCGGACCCGAAAGAUGGUGAACUAUGCGUGGAUAGGGUGAAGCCAGAGGAAACUCUGGUGGAGGCUCGCAGCGGUUCUGACGUGCAAAUCGAUCGUCAAAUCUGCGCAUGGGGGCGAAAGACUAAUCGAACAUCAUA